rnacentral:tRNA from 1 species
GGGCGUUUAGCUUAGCCUGGAUUGAGCGCUCGGCUUCGGACCGAGAGAUCGGAGGUUCGAAUCCUUCAACGCCCG